CUGACCUGCCUAAAUAAAUCAAACCCAUUUGAGGUCAUGUCUGUGGGCACAGCAAGCUGACUUGCCUUCUCGAGUGGGUGAAAAACAAUUGGCAUUUCAGUGAGGAACUGGAUGUAAUACAUGAAAUGGCUCAGAUCUACUCAGCUGGAACCCAGCACUUUCCCAGUGGAAAGAAUUUGAUGCCAUUUCCGCACACCCAAAUUCCUGUUGGCAGGAUAAUCAGCAAGUAAUACAGAGAGCUGCUUCCUUCAACAGCUGCAUUCAGCACAAAACCGAGGGCCGAUUAUGUGGAGAAAUAUCCUUCAGAGGCUGGUGGAGGCCGCUCUGCUUCAAGCUGUGAGCCGAGUCAGGGCUGCUUCACUUGUCUCUCAUCCUCUGGACCAGUGACCACCUGGGGUGGCAACAGGGCCAGAGGACGAGCAGAGACACAAGAGGCCUCCUAAGGCCUCAGCUCAGAACUAACAAACUCGCUUCUGCCCACAUUCCAUUGGCCAAAGCCCUGCAUGAGUUGUGGAAAAGUACUCUCCACUUUGGUGAACAUUAGUAAGAGAAAAGAGGGAAGGAAGAAUUGCAGGCAAGUAAUACCAUCUACCUCGGCCUCCUAUGCAGCUUGGUGUGUACCUGCACCUAAGUUCUGGCCUGUAGGAUAUGAGGGGAAGUGAGGUGUGCAACUCCAGGACCUGCCCCUGUAAAGACUGGGCCCUGCCUUUCCCCUGCCCAUCUGCUGGGGACAUGGUAGGACUGCAGCAGUUGCCUGGCCCAGAGAUAGACGGCACAGCUAUCCUGCUGGUCCUACCUCUAGACCGCCACAUGUACCUCACUUACACUGCUUGGGUUUUGCAUCUUAAAACCCCAAUUAGCACACCAUUCAUUCAUUCAUUCCCCCAUCAACAAGUAUGUACUGAGUGUCUUUUUGCCAGGCAUUGCACUAGGUUUUGGAGAGAUGACAGUGAACAAAAACAAACUUGGCUGUUCUGUAUCUUGGCUGUGGCAGUGGUUACACAAGCCUACACAUGUGAUAAAACUGCAUAGAACUAAAUACACACACACAGAGGAAUGCCAGUCAAACUGGGAAUUAAAGAAUCAAAAAGUCACUGGUGACUCAACAUGGCAGCAGUCCAGCUCAACCAUACAGAUGACAGCAGUGUGCUGAAGUAUGACAAAGGAAUGAUUUAAAAGGAAUUGAGGCAGAGCUGCCAGGCAGGCAUGCUCACCUUGGACUUUGAAGCAAGAGAGACAUAAAUAAAGGUCUUUGUUCUGUAAGUAGAGUGUUCAUAUAAUUUAUCAUCCAAACUGAGACACCUGUGAAAAUAAUUACACUGGAACAACUUGUGUGACUGAUCAGCUGGUCACUCCAUCUUUAAGUCAUUGUCUUGUUGAGUCUGUUAUCAGAGCCCAUGGAGUGCCAUGCAUGGACAGCUUAUUUAGGCACAACAGAGAAAAAUUAAAGGGAAGGAGGAGCAAGGAAGAGUGGAAAGGAUAAAGAAAUGGUGAGCAUUGGCAGGAAACAAUGCAAGGAGAAAAGGGAACAGGAAUCGGAUUUUCUACUAAUUUGCUGUGUGUUCCUGUGUCAGUUUAUAAAUUAGUGUCUAUAUUUACAACCGAUUGGAAGAACGAACUUUUUAGAUCCUCUCAUCCAACAAAGCUGCAGAUUUCUUUAUUGAGAUGGAGUUGAGAAAGCUUUAAAACAGGCCAAAGCAACAUGAGGACAUGUGUCAUGAGAAGAGAAAUGGUCUUCCAUAAAUUGAGUGCUGGGGAAGGCUUGGUGUAGGUAAUGUAGAGGUUCUCAAACUGUGGAGAAGCUCAAAAUGUGUUCCUUUGAGCCUUGGUCUUCUAGUUAGGCCACUGUCUAAGCCACUAUACAAAAAGACACCAAACACACUGGCUUCAACAAGACAAGCCUCUGUUUCUCUUUCGGGUGACAGGAGAAGCAGAGGACUAAGCUUUCUUUUCCAAGUCAUCACCUGAAAGUUGCCCCUUCACUUCUGCUCACAUUGCAUUGGCCAGAGACUUGAAAGGAAGCUGGGCACGUGCUGUGGGGAAAAGAAAGAGAGAUCAGAUUGUUACUGUGUCUGUAUAGAAAGAAGUAGACGUAGGAGACUCCAUUCUGUUCUGUACUAAGAAAAAUUCUGCCUUGAGAUUCUGUUAAUCUGUGACCUUACCCCCAACCCU
rnacentral:lncRNA from 10 species